rnacentral:rRNA from 1 species
CCUUUUCCGGGUNUUCCGCGCCGUAGCUAACGCAUUAAGUGCCCCGCCUGGGGAGUACGGCCGCAAGGCUAAAACUCAAAGGAAUUGACGGGGGCCCGCACAAGCGGCGGAGCAUGCGGAUUAAUUCGAUGCAACGCGAAGAACCUUACCAAGGCUUGACAUGUGCCGGUCUGCUCCGGAGACGGGGUUUCCUCCCUUGUGGGGGCUGGUUCACAGGUGGUGCAUGGUUGUCGUCAGCUCGUGUCGUGAGAUGUUGGGUUAAGUCCCGCAACGAGCGCAACCCUUGUCUCGUGUUGCCAGCACGUUGUGGUGGGGACUCGCGGGAGACUGCCGGGGUCAACUCGGAGGAAGGUGGGGAUGACGUCAAAUCAUCAUGCCCCUUAUGUCUUGGGCUUCACGCAUGCUACAAUGGCCGGUACAGAGGGCUGCGAUACCGUGAGGUGGAGCGAAUCCCUUAAAGCCGGUCUCAGUUCGGAUCGGUGUCUGCAACUCGACACCGUGAAGUUGGAGUCGCUAGUAAUCGCAGAUCAGCAACGCUGCGGUGAAUACGUUCUCGGNC